UUUCGUUAAAAUUCCCUAUUAAAAUGGUGACAUGAAAGAACCAGUCAUCUUGCUCACCCAUAAUAGAAAAAUAGUUCAAUACGUCAUGAUCAUAAGUGUGCUAGUACUUGUUAAAAUAUUCCCGUCCUGAUGAUUUCUUAUCUGUAUAUAUAUCUCUACAUAUAUUGCAUAUGUAUAUUGUAUUCUUAUGUCUAUGUCACGCAUAUGUAUGUAUGUGAGUAAGCUUAAAUUAACAAGUGUCCAAACGAUUUUGAUAUACGAGGAGGUGUCUUGGGGAUCCGCGAGCAUCUAAAUCCAACCUGUUUUAAUAUUAAAUGUAUUUAGUUUAAGGACUUUCUUUUUUUUUUUUUUUUUUUCAGUUUCUAGUUUCAGUUACUAGAGUUUAAUUUUAACUUGCUACCCAUGGUUAAGAUCACUACUCUUUUCUCUAACUCGGGUAGGGUUUAACUUAACCCAGGCCUGAAGGACAGUACCAUAAUGGGUCAAACUUAAAGCUAAAGGUGCCUUUGAUUUCAAUAAUUGAGUCCUUAUCCUCAUAA
rnacentral:lncRNA from 1 species